rnacentral:rRNA from 1 species
AGAGGUCCCAAGCGUUGUUCGGAUUCACUGGGCGUAAAGGGUGCGUAGGUGGUCAGGUAAGUUCGAUGUGAAAUCUCCGGGCUUAACCCGGAAAGUGCAUUGAAUACUAUCUGACUAGAGGGUUGGAGGGGGGACUGGAAUUCUCGGUGUAGCAGUGAAAUGCGUAGAUAUCGAGAGGAACACCAGUGGCGAAGGCGAGUCCCUGGACAACUCCUGACACUGAGGCACGAAAGCUAGGGGAGCAAACAGGAUUAGAUACCCUGGUAGUCCUAGCUGUAAACGGUGCACAUUUGCUGUAAGAGGAAUCGACCCCUUUUGUGGCGAAGCUAACGCGUUAAAUGUGCCGCCUGGGGAGUACGGUCGCAAGAUUA